rnacentral:lncRNA from 1 species
CUACAUGAACUAACCUUCACUUCUCCCCAGGCUCUAGGGGAUGGUAGAGUCACAGGAUGGAAGAACUCUGUGUCCUUGAAUCAUUGCAUGGAAGAGAACUGGAAGUUGCCCAGGAACACCAGCCUUGGACAGUUAUGUGAACAAGAAAUAAACUUCUUUUACAGU